rnacentral:rRNA from 1 species
UACGUAGGGUGCAAGCGUUGUCCGGAAUUAUUGGGCGUAGAGAGCUCGUAGGCGGUUUGUCGCGUCUGCUGUGAAAACUCGGGGCUUAACUCCGGGCCUGCAGUGGGUACGGGCAGACUAGAGUGCGGUAGGGGAGACUGGAAUUCCUGGUGUAGCGGUGAAAUGCGCAGAUAUCAGGAGGAACACCGGUGGCGAAGGCGGGUCUCUGGGCCGUAACUGACGCUGAGGAGCGAAAGCGUGGGGAGCGAACAGG